GCAUUCUCGCCUUGAGCUAGCAUUUUCAAUGCAGCCAAGGAGUUCCCGCUGCGUAAAUCAGUUGUGCUUCUUGGAAGCGUCCGCAGCACACAA
rnacentral:lncRNA from 1 species